rnacentral:rRNA from 1 species
CCUACGGGAGGCAGCAGUGAGGAAUAUUGGUCAAUGGCCGGAAGGCUGAACCAGCCAAGCCGCGUGAAGGACGACGGUGCCAAGCAUUGUAAACUUCUUUUGUCAAGGGACAAAAUCAGGCUCGAGAGCCUGACCGAGGGUACUUGAAGAAAAAGCAUCGGCUAACUCCGUGCCAGCAGCCGCGGUAAUACGGAGGAUGCGAGCGUUUUCCGGAUUUAUUGGGUUUAAAGGGUGCGUAGGCGGGCUGUUAAGUCAGCGGUAAAAGCCCGGGGCUCAACCCCGGCGAGCCGUUGAAACUGGCGGUCUUGAGAUGUCGAGAGGUAUGCGGAAUGCGCAGUGUAGCGGUGAAAUGCUUAGAUAUUGCGCAGAACUCCGAUUGCGAAGGCAGCAUACCGGCGGCGAUCUGACGCUGAGGCACGAAAGCGUGGGUAUCGAACAGGAUUAGAUACCCGGGUAGUC